rnacentral:lncRNA from 1 species
CCUAUCAAAUUUGGACUCAGUAUUUAUGAGAGAUUUAAUUAGUGAUUUGAUCACUAAUUAACUCAAUUUGAUUGAGUAAUUAUUUUUUGAUCAAGUCCAAUUGAAUUGGAUUCAGUUGGGUUUGACCCGAUUAGGUUAAGUGUUGACCUAAUCGCCAAGGUGGUUUGAUCCCUGAUCUGAUCAGGGGUUGGGCUUAGUCAAUUC